rnacentral:misc_RNA from 1 species
CCAAUGAUGAAGAAGAACCUCUGAUGCAGUGAUGAGCCCUAUGAGUUCUGAGG